ACAAAUACACAAGGAAAGCUCCAUGGAAGAUAAAGGCAGAGAUUUACAAGCCAAGGAAUGUCAAAGACGGCCAGCACACCACCAGAAGCUAGCAGAGAGGUAUGGAACAGAUUCUUCUUCACAACCUCAGAGGGAAAACCCUGCUGAUACCUGGAUUUCAAACUCCUGGCCUCCAGAACGAGACGGGGUUUUACCACGUUAGCCGGGCUGGUCUUGAACUCCUGACCUCAGGUGAUCCACCCGCCUCGAUCGCCCAUUAUUAACAAUCAAAUGGCUGUUCUUCAUGGUACUGGUACAAAAACAGAUAUAUACACCAAUGGAACAGAACAGAGGCCUCAGAAACAACACCACACAUCUACAACCAUCUGAUCUUUGACAAACCUGACAAAAACAAGCAAUGAAGAAAGGAUUCCCUAUUUAAUAAAUGGUGUUGGGAAAACUGGCUAGCCAUAUGCAGAAAACUGAAACUGGACCCCUUCCUUACACCUUAUACAAAAAUUAACUCAAGAUGGACUAAAGAUUUAAACAUAAGACCUAAAACAAUAAAAACCCUAGAAGAAAACCUAGGCAUUACCAUUCAGGACAUAGACAUGGGCAAAGACUUAAUGACUAAAACACCAAAAGCAAUGGCAACAAAAGCCAAAACUGACAAAUGAGAUCUAAUUAAACUAAAGAGCUCCUGCAUAGCAAAAGAAACUAUCAUCAGAGUGAACAGGCAACCUACAGAAUGGAAGAAAAUUUUUGCAAUCUAUCCAUCUAACAAAGGGCUAAUAUCCAGAAUCUACAAGGAACUUAAACAAAUUUACAAGAAAAAACAACCCCAUCAAAAAGUGGGCAAAGGAUAUGAACAGACACUUUUCAAAAGAAGACAUUUAUGCAGCCAACAAACAUGAAAAAAAGCUCAUCAUCACGUCAUUAGAGAAAUGCAAAUCAAAACCACAAUGAGAUACCAUCUCACGCCAGUUAGAAUGGCGAUCAUUAAAAUGUCAGGAAACAACAGAUGCUGGAGAGGAUGUGGAGAAAUAGGAAUGCUUUUACACUGCUGGUGGGACUGUAAACUAGUUCAACCAUUGUGGAAGAGAGUGUGGCAGUUCCUCAAGGAUCUAGAACUAGAAAUACCAUUUGACCCAGAAAUCCCAUUACUGGGUAUAUACCAUAAGGAUUAUAAACGAUUCUACUAUAAAGACACACGCACAAGUAUGUUUAUUGCAGCACUAUUCACAAUAGCAAAUAAUUGGAACCAACCGAAAUGCCCAUCAAUGAUAGACUAGAUAAAGAAAAUGUGGUACAUAUACACCAUGGAAUACUAUGUAGCCACAAAAAAGAGUGAGUUUAUGUCCUUUGCAGGGACAUUGAUGAAGCUGGAAGCCAUCAUUCUCAGCAAACUAACACAAGAACAGAAAACCAAACACUGCAUGUUCUCACUCGUAAGUGGGAAUUGAAUAAUGAGAACAUAUGGGCACAGGGAAGGGAACAUCAUACACUGGGGCCUGUCGGGGAGUGGGGGGCACUCUAUCAUUAGGAGAAUUACCUAAUGGAGAUGACGGGUUGAGGGGUGCAGCAAACCACCAUGGCACAUGUAUACCUAUGUAACAAACCUGCACGUUCUGCAUACGUAUCCCAGAACUUAAAGUAUAAUAAAAUAAAUAAAUCAAUAAAUAAAUACAUAAAUAAUAAAAAUCGCUGUUCUUAACAACUGGCUUGCAAAAUUUGACUCUAGCAAGCAAGAAGAUGUGGGCUCUGGCAUGCUACUGCAUGAAGGCAAGAGGAAAACAUUAGGAGCCAAUUUUAGCAUAAUAUUUUGAAGUUGCUGCUUCCAUUGGAGUCACUGUGGCUGCUGGCAACAUGCUGGAGAGGUGG
rnacentral:lncRNA from 1 species